rnacentral:rRNA from 1 species
CCUACGGGUGGCAGCAGUGAGGAAUAUUGGUCAAUGGGAGGAAUCCUGAACCAGCCAUGCCGCGUGCAGGACGACGGCUCUACGAGUUGUAAACUGCUUUUGUACCGGGGUAAAUUGCUCUACGAGUAGGGUUUUGAAAGUACGGUACGAAUAAGGAUCGGCUAACUCCGUGCCAGCAGCCGCGGUAAUACGGAGGAUCCGAGCGUUAUCCGGAUUUAUUGGGUUUAAAGGGUGCGUAGGUUGUUUUAUAAGUUAGCGGUGAAAUACCGAUGCUCAACAUCGGGGCUGCCGCUGAUACUGUAGGACUAGAGAUCGGAUGCAGCAGGCGGAAUGUGUAGUGUAGCGGUGAAAUGCAUAGAUAUUACACAGAACACCGAGUGCGAAGGCAGCUUGCUAGGCCGGAUCUGACACUGAUGCACGAAAGCGUGGGGAUCGAACAGGAUUAGAUACCCCGGUAGUC